rnacentral:snRNA from 1 species
AUCUACCUACAAUGAAAGGGCUGA